UACGUAGGGUGCAAGCGUUGUCCGGAAUUAUUGGGCGUAAAGAGCUCGUAGGCGGUUCGUCGCGUCGGCUGUGAAAACCCGGAGCUCAACUCCGGGCCUGCAGUCGAUACGGGCGGACUCGAGUUCGGCAGGGGAGACGUGGAAUUCCUCGUGGUAGCGGUGAAAUGCGCAGAUAUCAGGAGGAACACCGGUGGCGAAGGCGGGUCUCUGGGCCGAUACUGACGCUGAGGAGCGAAAGCGUGGGGAGCGAACAGG
rnacentral:rRNA from 1 species